GGGUGGGUAGCUCAGUGGUUAAAGUUUAGGUCUCGUAACCGGGAGGUCCCGGUAUCAAAUCCCGCUAGAGACA
rnacentral:tRNA from 1 species